GCAGUCGAACGAGAGANGAGAAGCUUGCUUUUCAAAUCUAGUGGCGAACGGGUGAGUAACGCGUGAGUAACCUGCCUUAAAGAGGGGGACAACAGUUGGAAACGACUGCUAAUACCGCAUAAGCCCACACUACCGCAUGGUAGAGGGGGAAAAGAUUUAUCGCUUUAAGAUGGACUCGCGUCUGAUUAGCUAGUUGGUGGGGUAAUGGCCUACCAAGGCGACGAUCAGUAGCCGGACUGAGAGGUUGAUCGGCCACAUUGGGACUGAGACACGGCCCAGACUCCUACGGGAGGCAGCAGUGGGGGAUAUUGCACAAUGGGGGAAACCCUGAUGCAGCGACGCCGCGUGGAGGAAGAAGGUUUUCGGAUCGUAAACUCCUGUUGUCAGGGACGAUAAUGACGGUACCUGACAAGAAAGUGACGGCUAACUACGUGCCAGCAGCCGCGGUAAAACGUAGGUCACAAGCGUUGUCCGGAAUUACUGGGUGUAAAGGGAGCGCAGGCGGGAAGAUAAGUUGGAAGUGAAAUCUAUGGGCUCAACCCAUAAACUGCUUUCAAAACUAUUUUUCUUGAGUGGUGCAGAGGUAGGCGGAAUUCCUAGUGUAGCGGUGGAAUGCGUAGAUAUUAGGAGGAACACCAGUGGCGAANGCGGCCUACUGGGCACUAACUGACGCUGANGCUCGAAAGCAUGGGUAGCAAACAGGAUUAGAUACCCUGGUAGUCCAUGCCGUAAACGAUGAUUACUANNUGUUGGAGGAUUGACCCCUUCAGUGCCGCAGCUAACGCAAUAAGUAAUCCACCUGGGGAGUACGACCGCA
rnacentral:rRNA from 1 species